UACGUAGGAGGCAAGCGUUGUCCGGAAUUACUGGGCGUAAAGCGCGUGUAGGUGGUGGGACAAGUCUGCUGUGAAAGCGCCUGGCUUAACCGGGCGAGGUCGGCGGAAACUGUCCGACUCGAGGACGGUAGAGGGGGGUGGAAUUCCCGGUGUAGUGGUGAAAUGCGUAGAGAUCGGGAGGAACACCUGUGGCGAAGGCGGCCCCCUGGGCCGGCCCUGACGACUGAGACGCGAAGGCGUGGGGAGCGAACGGG
rnacentral:rRNA from 1 species